UGUUAAUGAUUUCAUCCAUUUCUACGGUUAAAACUAGAGUACCUGACAGAAUAACAAGACAAUACACGUGACAUGCCACAUAUACCUUAUACUGAUGUACAGGGGCCAGUUUUUAACAGCGGAAAUGGAUGAAACUUUUAAUA
rfam:Gossypium raimondii Chr09_contig_1778, whole genome shotgun sequence.